rnacentral:tRNA from 1 species
GGGGUGAUGGCGUAGUUGGGAGCGCGUUCGACUGAAGAUCGGAAGGUCGCUGGUUCGAUCCCGGCUCACCCCA